GAUGAGGUGGCCGAGUCGUUAAGGCGAUGGACUUCUAAUCCAUUGUGCCCUGCACGCGUGGGUUCGAAUCCCAUCCUCGUCG
rnacentral:tRNA from 1 species